GUAAAAACACAGUUACUUUAAGAAAUGUAUCGUUUAAGUUUCUGACAUGCCAGGAUAGAGCAAAAGCAAAAAGACACGCCCAUGCCCCCAAGGCAUGAGAAUUACUUCAGGGUAUCUGCUGACCACUACCUUAAGCUUCACAAGUAUACCUGAGGAUGAACUCUAGAGUGAAAUGGAUUCUUACACAUUGCUUAGGAGAAAAUCUGCCAGUGUUGUGUUUUGAUGAUGAAUAGAAAAUUGGGGAGCCCCUCUCACUUUUCCCAAGAUUCCAGAGGGUGUCUGGGUCUAAGUGGCACUCGAUGUUUGAUACAUAGUCAGCUCUGGGUGAUGAUGUCCACAUUCUUCUCAGGUGGAGGUGUCUCAGGUCCCACAGAUCAAGGCUAUCGUCUCUUUCCCUUCUCUGUCUCCUGCAGGUGCCACCUGUGAGGAUCAGGCAGCUGCUGGAGGGCUUGCCCAGGAGCCUGAGGAAGGUCUCUUCACUUAUGUAUUCCGGCCAUCCCAACACAUACGCAGCCACCAGGUGACUUCAGCCCAGCUGUGGUUCCACACGGGGCUCGACAGGAAGAGCACAGCAGCCUCCAAUAGCUCUAGGCCCCUGCUAGAUCUUCUGGUGCUGUCAUCUGGGGGGCCCAUGGCUGUGCCUGUGUCCUUGGGACAGAGCCCCCCACGCUGGGCUGUCCUGCACCUGGCGGCCUCCGCUUUCCCUCUGUUGACCCACCCCAUCCUCGUGUUGCUGCUGCGGUGCCCACUCUGUUCUUGCUCAGGCCGGCCUGAGACCACUCCUUUCCUGGUGGCCCACACUAGGGCUCGAGCCCCCAGUGCGGGGGAGAGGGCUCG
rnacentral:lncRNA from 1 species